rnacentral:misc_RNA from 1 species
UGCCUGUUCGAGCGUCAUUACAACCCUCAAGCAUUGCUUGGUCUUGGGCUUCGCUGUUCACCCAGCGGGCCCUAAAAUUAUUGGCGGUGCGUCGGGCCCUGAGCGUAGUAAAUUUCCUCGCUAUAGGGACUCGGUGGUAGUAGCCACAACCCCCACCUCAGUUUGACCUCGGAUCAGGUAGGGAUACCCGCUGAACUUAA